rnacentral:rRNA from 1 species
UACAGAGGGGGCAAGCGUUAUUCGGAAUUAUUGGGCGUAAAGGGCGCGUAGGCGGCCUGGCAAGUGGAAGGUGAAAUCCCUCGGCUUAACCGAGGAACUGCCCUCCAAACUGCUUGGCUUGAGUCCGGGAGAGGUGAGUGGAACUCCCAGUGUAGCGGUGAAAUGCGUAGAUAUUGGGAGGAACACCAGUGGCGAAGGCGGCUCACUGGACCGGAACUGACGCUGAGGCGCGAAAGCGUGGGGAGCAAACGGG